UUAAAAAUUGAGGAGGAGUUGAAUGAUCAGAUAAUUAAUCUUUAUUGUAGUGUACUGCAAAAACGGACGGAUCAGUGUGUACAGAAAGUGUCCCGUGCAGAUUGUCUGAUUCUGACCUCAAUUUUUGAAGGGAGGAAA